rnacentral:rRNA from 1 species
AACGAACGCUGGCGGCAGGCUUAACACAUGCAAGUCGAGCGCCCCGCAAGGGGAGCGGCAGACGGGUGAGUAACGCGUGGGAAUCUACCCAUCUCUACGGAAUAACGCAUGGAAACGUGUGCUAAUACCGUAUACGUCCUUCGGGAGAAAGAUUUAUCGGAGAUGGAUGAGCCCGCGUUGGAUUAGCUAGUUGGUGGGGUAAAGGCCUACCAAGGCGACGAUGCAUAGCUGGUCUGAGAGGAUGAUCAGCCACACCGGGACUGAGACACGGCCCAGACUCCUACGGGAGGCAGCAGUGGGGAAUAUUGGACAAUGGGCGCAAGCCUGAUCCAGCCUUGCCGCGUGAGUGAUGAAGGCCCUAGGGUUGUAAAGCUCUUUCACCGGUGAAGAUAAUGACGGUAACCGGAGAAGAAGCCCCGGCUAACUUCGUGCCAGCCGCCGCGGUAAUAC